AUACGGAGGGUGCAAACGUUGCUCGGAAUUAUUGGGCGUAAAGCGCGCGUAGGCGGCUUGAUAAGUCGGAUGUGAAAGCCCUCGGCUCAACCGAGGAAGUGCAUACGAAACUGUCAGGCUUGAGUAUGUGAGAGGAUUGUGGAAUUCCCGGUGUAGAGGUGAAAUUCGUAGAUAUCGGGAGGAACACCAGUGGCGAAGGCGACAAUCUGGACCAAUACUGACGCUGAGGUGCGAAAGCGUGGGGAGCAAACAGGAUUAGAAACCCUAGUAGUCC
rnacentral:rRNA from 1 species